rnacentral:rRNA from 1 species
AACGAACGCUGGCGGCAGGCUUAACACAUGCAAGUCGAACGCCCCGCAAGGGGAGUGGCAGACGGGUGAGUAACGCGUGGGAAUCUACCUAGUUCUACGGAACAACAGUUGGAAACGACUGCUAAUACCGUAUACGCCCUACGGGGGAAAGAUUUAUCGGAAUUAGAUGAGCCCGCGUAAGAUUAGCUAGUUGGUGGGGUAAUGGCCUACCAAGGCGACGAUCUUUAGCUGGUCUGAGAGGAUGAUCAGCCACACUGGGACUGAGACACGGCCCAGACUCCUACGGGAGGCAGCAGUGGGGAAUAUUGGACAAUGGGCGCAAGCCUGAUCCAGCCAUGCCGCGUGAGUGAUGAAGGCCUUAGGGUUGUAAAGCUCUUUCACCGAUGAAGAUAAUGACGGUAGUCGGAGAAGAAGCCCCGGCUAACUUCGUGCCAGCCGCCGCGGUAACAC